GGCUCAGGAUGAACGCUGGCGGCGUGCUUAACACAUGCAAGUCGAACGGAAAGGCCACAGCUUGCUGUGGUACUCGAGUGGCGAACGGGUGAGUAACACGUGGGUGAUCUGCCCUGUACUUCGGGAUAAGCUUGGGAAACUGGGUCUAAUACCGGAUAGGAAUCACAUGUGGGUGUGUGGUUGGAAAGCUUUUGCGGUAUGGGAUGAGCUCGCGGCCUAUCAGCUUGUUGGUGGGGUAAUGGCCUACCAAGGCGUCGACGGGUAGCCGGCCUGAGAGGGUGUACGGCCACAUUGGGACUGAGAUACGGCCCAGACUCCUACGGGAGGCAGCAGUGGGGAAUAUUGCACAAUGGGCGCAAGCCUGAUGCAGCGACGCCGCGUGGGGGAUGACGGCCUUCGGGUUGUAAAC
rnacentral:rRNA from 1 species